AAUAAGUCAACUUUUCAAUUUUUAGAUACAAUGUUUAACUCUUCGUUUUAUUUAAAUUUUUUUACUAUUAAUAAUUUUAUUUUUAUUAGAUGAUAAAACAUAAAUAGUAUUUUAUGUGUGACUAAUUUUUUUAAAAAAAAUCUUGAAAAUUUUUUAAAUAAGAUGAAUGGUUAAACGCUCGACAUAAAAACC
rnacentral:pre_miRNA from 1 species